CCAGGGUGGGAGGAUCCACUUCCAAAACGUCUCACUCACAUGACUAUUGGCAGAAAGCCUCAGUUCCUUGAAAAUGUGGACUUCUCUGCAGGCCUUCUGGAGUGUCCUCCUGACAGCAACUGGCCUUUCCCAGAGAGAGUGAUCCAACAGAGAGAGCAAGUAGGAUAUAGCUGCGCCUUUCAUGACAGCCUCAGAAGCCACAAAUCACCGUGUCUGCUAUGUUUUAUUCAUCAGAACAAUCCACCAACAUCUUUUUGAUUCCUGACUUCCCUUUGUAGAUUCUAUACUGUGACUUGAAGAACAGUUGGCAAAUGGGUCAAAAGCCAGUAGAUA
rnacentral:lncRNA from 1 species